rnacentral:rRNA from 1 species
UACGUAGGGUGCGAGCGUUGCCCGGAUUUAUUGGGCGUAAAGGGCGCGUAGGCGGCCACGCACGUCCGUUGUGAAAUCGCCCGGCUCAACUGGGCGGGGUCGGCGGAUACGGCGUGGCUGGAGCAAGCUAGGGGGCAAUGGAAUUCCCGGUGUAGUGGUGGAAUGCGUAGAUAUCGGGAGGAACACCAGUGGCGAAGGCGGUUGCCUGGAGCUCUGCUGACGCUGAGGCGCGAAAGCGUGGGGAGCGAUCCGG